GAAGCUUAGAGAACUCCAACUGGCCACUCACUCACUUCCAGUUGGGAGCCUAUGGAAAGAGAUCCUUAAUUUUUGUAUUAUCCAUAUCACCACUAUUCCACCUAUUAAAAGAGAUGACUGACAACGGAUUCCAGUAUAUAACUCAAAGUCCAGAAUAUGACUGGUCACUGAUAUGGGGAUUAUCUCAGAAUCAUCCUUCUAUUUGCAAUCAGACAAUCGACACAUUUAAGUAAAGCAACCAAUUAAUGGCUGUGUUUGGGGUUCCACCUUCCCUAAAGGAAGCUCUGAAGAGAAAUUAGAGAGGACAGCUAUUAGAGGA